UGCCAGCCGCCGCGGUAAGACGGAGGGUGCAAGCGUUGUUCGGAAUCACUGGGCAUAAAGAGCACGUAGGCGGCUGACUAAGUCGGAUGUGAAAGCCCUCGGCUCAACCGAGGAAUUGCAUCCGAUACUGGUCGGCUUGAGGAUAGCAGGGGUGAGUGGAACUCCAGGUGGAGCGGUGAAAUGCGUAGAUAUCUGGAGGAACACCGGUGGCGAAAGCGGCUCACUGGGCUAUCUCUGACGCUGAGAUGCGAAAGCGUGGGGAGCAAACAGGAUUAGAUA
rnacentral:rRNA from 1 species